rnacentral:tRNA from 1 species
AAGGGAGACCUAAUUCAGGUAUGGGACGAAAAAAAAGUAGUCGCUACCAAGAAUCAAUCCCAAAAGGUCGGAGCGAGGCGAAAUUGGCUUUCAAACUAGGUUCUGGGUUCACACAAGACCUGAAUCAGGAACAAGGGCUAUUAGCUCAGGUGGUUAGAGCGCACCCCUGAUAAGGGUGAGGUCCCUGGUUCGAGUCCAGGAUGGCCCACCUGCACAGGUGGCAAAAGCAAAGAAAAAAAGCUCCGAAUCAGCACCUUAUCUUACUUAUACAGUAAGAGAGAAUGCUGGCCCUGAGUUCAGAGUUCAGAGGAACCUUGAAAACUGCAUAGAGCUAGGUGAAAAAGCCAAAAAAGAAGACCGCAA